AUACGGAGGAUGCGAGCGUUAUCCGGAUUUAUUGGGUUUAAAGGGUGCGUAGGCUGUGCGUUAAGUCAGGGGUGAAAUGCCGUCGCUCAACGACGGAAUUGCCCUUGAUACUGGCGUGCUGGAGGACCGAUGCCGUUGGAGGAAUGAGUGGUGUAGCGGUGAAAUGCUUAGAUAUCACUCAGAACACCGAUUGCGAAGGCAUCUGACGAAUCCGUCACUGACGCUGAGGCACGAAAGCGUGGGGAUAGAACAGGAUUAGAUACCCUGGUAUUCCACGCCGUAAACGAUGAUGACUAACCGUCGGCGAUAGACAGCCGGUGGCCAAGCGAAAGCGAUAAGUCAUCCACCUGGGGAGUACGUCGGCAACGAUGAAACUCAAAUGAAUUGGCGGGG
rnacentral:rRNA from 1 species